rnacentral:rRNA from 1 species
UACGUAGGGCGCAAGCGUUGUCCGGAAUUAUUGGGCGUAAAGAGCUCGUAGGCGGCUUGUCACGUCGGGUGUGAAAGCCCGGGGCUUAACCCCGGGUCUGCAUUCGAUACGGGCUAGCUAGAGUGUGGUAGGGGAGAUCGGAAUUCCUGGUGUAGCGGUGAAAUGCGCAGAUAUCAGGAGGAACACCGGGGGCGAAGGCGGAUCUCUGGGCCAUUACUGACGCUGAGGAGCGAAAGCGUGGGGAGCGAACAGG